ACUGCAGCUCAAUUGUGAAUCAUGCUUUUAAGCGCUGGAGGAAUAAUUCUCAGGCUCCUGUGAUCAGAGCUGCAGCUUCAUCUGUCAGGCACAGUACGAGGUCUGGAUCUUGGUGCCAGAGGAGCUCGCAGGAGGAGGCUUAGAGGAAAGGGCUUAGCGGGUAAUCCUCAGGGCACCUUGGAAGAGAGUGGAGAUAUCUCCAUGGCAGGCACUCAUGCGCAAACCUGUCAUCGGGGCCUGGGUUGGUGAAGACGUCCCUCACCAGACAAGAUAGUGCCCGAGACCUGGAACGGUUCCACCCUUGUGGAUCUCCAGACAAUUAGGUGAAGAUCUUCACACUUGAUUGAAGGAGACAAUAAA